UUGACAGAAGAGAGUGAGCACACGGCGUGAUGGCCGGCAUAAAAUCUAUCCCGUCCUCGCCGCGUGCUCACUCCUCUUUCUGUCAC
rfam:Oryza sativa Japonica Group DNA, chromosome 2, cultivar: Nipponbare, complete sequence.